CAAUAGCGUAUAUUUAAGUUGUUGCAGUUAAAAAGCUCGUAGUUGGAUUUCGGGUGGGUACCGCCGGUCUCCCAUUGGGUAUGUACUGGCGUGGCCCGCCUUGCUGUCGGGGACGGUCUCCUGGGCUUAAUUGCUCGGGAAUCGGAGUCGACGAUGUUACUUUGAGUAAAUUAGAGUGUUCAAAGCAAGCCUACGCUCUGAAUAUAAUAGCAUGGGAUAACACGACAGGACUCUGGCCUAUCGUGUUGGUCUGUAGGACCGGAGUAAUGAUUAAGAGGGACAGUCGGGGGCAUUCGUAUUUCAUUGUCAGAGGUGAAAUUCUUGGAUUUAUGAAAGACGAACUACUGCGAAAGCAUUUGCCAAGGAUGUUUUCAUUAA
rnacentral:rRNA from 1 species